rnacentral:tRNA from 1 species
AUAUUAUUAUGGGUCAGGUAUGCUCUGGGACGGAAGGAUUCGAACCUCCGAAUAGCGGGACCAAAACCCGUU